rnacentral:rRNA from 1 species
GGAUUGAACGCUGGCGGCAGGCCUAACACAUGCAAGUCGAGCGGUAGAGAGGUGCUUGCAUCUCUUGAGAGCGGCGGACGGGUGAGUAAUGCCUAGGAAUCUGCCUAGUGGUGGGGGAUAACGUUCGGAAACGGACGCUAAUACCGCAUACGUCCUACGGGAGAAGCGGGGGACCUUCGGGUCUCGCGCCAUUAGAUGAGCCUAGGUCGGAUUAGCUAGUUGGUGAGGUAAUGGCUCACCAAGGCGACGAUCCGUAACUGGUCUGAGAGGAUGAUCAGUCACACUGGAACUGAGACACGGUCCAGACUCCGUACGGGAGCAGCAGGUGGGAAUAGUGGACAAGUGGGACAAAGCCUAGACUCCAGCCAUCGCCGGCGUGGUGUAGGAAGG